rnacentral:rRNA from 1 species
AGAGGCUUCGGCAAUGGGGGAAACCCUGACCGAGCGACGCCGCGUGCGGGAUGAAGGCCCUCGGGUCGUAAACCGCUGUCAGGCGGGAAGAAUCCUUCCGGGUGAAUACCCCGGAAGUUGACGGUACCUCCAGAGGAAGCUCCGGCUAACUCCGUGCCAGCCGCCGCGGUAAUACGGAGGGAGCGAACGUUGUUCGGAUUAACUGGGCGUAAAGGGCGUGUAGGCGGUCUGGCAAGUCAGGGGUGAAAUGUCCCGGCUCAACCGGGAACCUGCCUUUGAAACUGCCGGGCUUGAGGCCGUGAGAGGAGACUGGAAUUCCUAGUGUAGAGGUGAAAUGCAUAGAUAUUAGGAAGAACACCAGUGGCGAAGGCGAGUCUCUGGCACGGUUCUGACGCUGAGGCGCGAAAGCUAGGGGAGCAAAC